rfam:Nicotiana sylvestris Nsyl_contig66592, whole genome shotgun sequence.
AUACCUUUCUUGGCCUUUUGGCUAAGAUCAAGUGGAGUAUCUGUUCUUAUCAGUUUAAUAUCUGAUAUGUGGGCCAUCAGUUCACAUGAUGUAGCUCAAUUUUUUGAGGAGGAGAGUCCUCUACGGUAGCUUGCUAUCGGGUCACUCAAGUGUUGUAUUGGUGCUGCAAAAACAAGAGUGACUUUUAGUAU